rnacentral:lncRNA from 1 species
GGCGCUGUGGGCUGCUGGGCUCAGGCCUAGAGGCGCCCUUCAAAACGAACAGCCUGGGUGCUGUGGAGGGCACGUUGAUGGCAGCAAAAGGAAGACAGGCUACUGGACAGAAAGGGACGGGUCCCAGUGAAGCCCCACCUUCAAGCCAGGGAUGGCUUCAAUCCUGGAGGCCGCGCUGUCAGUUCCGGUCGGAGUCUGUGGCCUGGAGUGAGCACUAAUGGUUCUUUUUCCAGGCCCGCCCAUGGCCACCCAUGGACCAAUCAGCAUGCACUUCCUCCCUUCUGAACCCAUAAAAACCCCGCUCCCCGGACGCAGCCGGAGUCACGCGAAGUCGGAAGUACCAGCUGCGGGAAGGAGCUGCCCACUGUGCGUCUUCUCAACUUGUUGGGACAACCUUCCUGCGGAAAGGAGAGACAACCUUCCUGCAGAAAGGAGCUACCUGCUUCAGGUCUACUGAGAGCUGUUCUGCCACUCAAUAAAGCUCUUCUCCAUCUUGCUAAGCCUCCAUUUGUCCGCAAUACCUCAUCUCCCUGGACGCAGGACAAGAACUCAGGACCCGCCUGGAGGUGCCCACAGCAGAAUCCACAUGCCGUCCAUCUGGUCCAGCCUCACGCAGAGCCACAACUGUGCUGGCGCCUGGAGCUGCCAGCCCCACUGCAGCAGCCGGACUGACAUUCAGACGUGGAGCAAGUUGGACUGCAUAGGGACCCACCAGUGAGAUGGACGCUGUCUGUAAACGGGGAAAUUUAUGGAAAGAUGUCCUCCUGCAACUGCUGAAAAUGCAACAUGCUGCCCAGGUCCUGCUCAGACCACUGACAACUCAGAAGUUAAUACUCAGAGUGGAAAGCGUAGCAAAGUGUAGUACAUGAGCAAGCGUUUCAAGCCAGACGGAGUUAAUCAUCUCUGUCACUGAAUUGGAGCUCACGGUCUGCUGGACAACUGUGCUGAGUGGAAAGGAAGCCUCGAUGGCUAAGUCACUUGUCCAACCUCAGACACUGGCAGAUCCAGGAUUCAAACAGCUAGACUCCAAAUGUGUUUCCUUUAACCUCUUUUCUACCUUUUCAACUUGAUUCCACACAUCACCACUGGGAAAGCUUAGGUGAGUAAGUCAUGUGGGCUUUGGUUUUUUCAUCUGCACGAUGGAUAGACUGAGACCUUCUUCCCUCAUGCCUCUGAGGAUGACAUAAAAAACCCACAAAAUCCCUAGUCCACUUACUUGCUCACAGAUAUUUACUGAGUGAGCAUCUGAUUUCCAUCCCAUUGUCACCUUCUCCCUAGCUGUCCAGACACCCUGCUUGCCUGGCCAAUGCCACCAAAGAAUGGAACCUGCUUUUGUUCCACACUCCGUAGCCAGAAAAAAGAGACAGUUGUUCUGGCAUGUUAUUGUUUGAUUUUAUUUUACCUCAGGGAUUAAAAAAAAUGACUAUCAAUUAUAGCAACAUCAGGUAGAGGGUUUGGUAUACAUUUCCGAUGAGCUUAGAUUUCUCUCAAAUUCUCAUACUUUUAAGAUUUAUUUUUAAAUGUGAGCAUUGAAACUUAACCAAUCCUUUAGACUCUUACUCAACAAGGGAUUCUAAAGAACAUUUCUCAGUAGGAAUUAAUCAUUUAUUUUGAAACUACAUAUCUAAUUUGUCUACUAUGGGAAGGAUAUGGAAAGAGAAAACCCAAUUCUUUUUAUUUUUUGGAACAGCUGGGUCCCCAAACCACCAGCAGCUGCUUCACAAAUUGCCUAGCCAUUAAGUAAUUAUUUCCUCAUCAUAAGAGCAGCUGGAAGAGCUAGUCUCUCUCCCUCCCCAGUGCAACUCCCACUUCCUUCUGCCUCCUCCACCCUGUCCUGAAAUGGGCAGGCCAAGAGGUAUACGGUAUUGGUUUUCUUUACGUAAUUGAAGACUGGAAUUGAGCACUCUGAUAGCUGAUUAUUUUUCAACAGCGCUUACCU